rnacentral:lncRNA from 1 species
GUUCCCCUCUGCCUGCAAUGUACCAGCCACGAGUCAGAGCUGGCUUGGGCUGCUCUCUUGGCUGCUGGGCCCUCGUCUCGUUCCAGGAUGUCCCCAGCACGCAGCUCCACCCACCAACUGCAGGACCUGCUCAGUGGACAGUUCUAAGCAGGCAAAUGAAAGGGGCCAUCUUCUGUUCACAGAGUUCAG